GGGGAACAAUUUCCAUGGACUCAACCCAAGAACAAGAAGACUUUCACUUCUUGUUAACGGCGCAACGCCACGAACUCACGGUGGCGGAAUCCAUGGAAUCCGAUCUCGAUUUCGCUUACAAUCUCCAGCUCCAAGAAGCCCUCUCCGCUUCCCUCACCGACCAACCUUCCUCCUCCACCGCCGUCUUUCUCGAAGACCCAUCCAUCUCCGACUCCGUUUUCAACGCUAACUCUCUCCAGCUACAAGAGCUCGAAAAAAUGGCAAUCGAGAUGAACGACAGAUUACAAAGCGAGAGAGCAAUGCGUGAAGCGAGAGACGAUCUCAACCGUCGGAUUCAUGAUCAGAAAAUGGCGUCGGAGAUUUUCAACAUGCCGGUGAAGGAUUGGGAUGAAUGGGGAGAUAAUUUCGAGAAACCGUUUGGUGAAGGGAGUUCUUCGGGUUCGACGAUGCGGAACAAUGAAGGUCCGGUUGUUAGGGUUUAUUUUAAGGGUUUAGUGAGUGAGGAGAGUGUGAGAGGUGAGAGUGUUUCUUUGGCUGGGAUUGGUGUUGCUGUUUGUGAUGAUGAGGAUAAUUUGAUAUUGGAAAUUUCUAAGACUGUUGAUGGGAAUGAGAGUCGUAAAAUUGCUGUGGAGCUUAUGGCUUUGAUUGAAGGUUUCAAUGCUGUUAUUGCUUUGGAUUUGAAGCGUGUUAUUUAUUUUGGUGAUUAUUAUACACUUUUUCAACAUUUGAGUGGAAAAUGGGCUUCGAAACAGCCGAAGGUCGCUGCACUACUUAAUGAGGUGAAUAUGCUUCAAAGAAAAUUUGCAUACUGCAGUCCAAGGCUUGUGGCGAGGCAUGAUCUGAAAUUUGCAUUUAAGCUUGCAAGAGAUGCAAUUGUUUCUCAAUCCAUGAGGCCUGCUGAAUCUAGCGGUGUAAAGAGUCUGAAUGAAACUUGUGUCAUUUGUUUGGAGGAUAGUGAUGUUAGUCAAUUUUUUUCAGUUGAUGGCUGUCAACACAGGUAUUGCUUUUCUUGCAUGAGGCAACAUGUGGAGGUGAAGUUGCUCCAUGGAAUGGUGCCAAUAUGCCCUCAUGAGGGAUGCAAGAAUGAACUUCUAGUUGACAGUUGCCGGAAAUUCUUGACUUCUAAAUUAGUUGAAACCAUGCAGCAACGAAAUUUGGAAGCAUCAAUUCCACAUACUGAGAAAAUUUACUGUCCUUAUCCAAGAUGCUCUGCAUUGAUGUCAAAAACUGAAGUUUUAGAUUACUCCAAAAGUCUUAUGGGCUCUGUACAAUCAAUGCCCAAGAAAUGCGUAAAAUGUCAUGGUCUUUUCUGUUUCAGCUGCAAGGUCCCGUGGCAUAGUGGUAUGACAUGUUAUACCUACAAAAGGUUGAAUCCUAACCCUCCAUCAGAAGAUGUGAAGUUGAAGUCUCUGGCAUCAAGGAGUCUUUGGAAGCAGUGCGUGAAGUGUAACCAUAUGAUUGAACUUGCUGAAGGUUGCUACCACAUGACAUGCAGGUCAAGGAGUACCGUGAGCUUUUACUUUUGGUGGGUACCUUGAAUUGUCGUUGGAGUUUCAGGAUAUUUUAAAGUUCUGGCCCACCUAUCAAAGUGGUCCGCCGCCGAAGAAUUUGCUGCCAAAAUCAUAUGCGGGUUCGAAUUUUGCUAUAAAUGUGGAGCUGAGUGGAAGGAUAAAAAAGCAACAUGUUCUUGUCCACUUUGGGAAGAGGACAAUAUUUGGUUACAAGAUCGUGAUGAUGAAGAGGACGACAGUUCUGAUGAUGAU